rnacentral:rRNA from 1 species
UACGGAGGUGGCGAGCGUUGCUCGGAUUCAUUGGGUGUAAAGGGUCGGUAGGCGGUCCGGUAAGUGCCCGGUGAAAUCCUACGGCUCAACCGUAGGGCGUUCGGGUAGACUGCCGGUCUUGAGGGCUGGAGGGGCAAGCGGAAUUCCCGGUGUAAGAGUGAAAUCUGUAGAUAUCGGGAGGAACACCAGUGGCGAAGGCGGCUUGCUGGACAGCAUCUGACGCUGAGCGACGAAAGCGUGGGGAGCAAACAGG